UUACCGGAUUAAUAUGAUAAUCAGGCAGGUUAAGUGGCCCUGUGACCACAAUUAAUGGAAGGCUUGACAUUUUUACUUUUUAGUUACUUAGUAAUUAGCAAAACUACAGAGCUCUUCAAAUAUGAUUUAUACUACUAUUUGGAUCUUCAGAGACUAGACUCCAAAUCGUAAUGCAUAACUAAGCCGUCUUCACUUAAAAACAAUCCUGAAGAUUCCCAGGGCAAGUGAGGACUUCCCCGCUCCUGUUCGACCCACAAUGCCAACCUAUAAAAAGAGGUAAUGCCUUUCAGAGCCAACUCGAGGCCUUUACGGUACUGCAGCCCGUAGUCCUGAAACUCUAUAGUGCCUGUCUGGGGCCAGGCCAGGGGCAAGGAGCUGCCUUCUUUACUCCAGCUAGCCUAAAUGAGACAACAACAAAGGAAACUAUGUUGUUUUCUACGUCAGUCCAGGAUCUCACAAUCCAGCUCAAGAUUCCAGUCACCUGCGAUAUCCAAGGCAAUGAGGUAGAGGCUCUUACCUGGAGGGAGUGUGACACAGCCAAACCAACGAUGCCCGGGCUCAGUGUGUUUUUUCCCAUCACAGAGAGAAUAGCAGCGGCUAAGACCACGCCAUUACCAACAAACUCCAGAU